CGGGUGAGUAACGCGUAGGCAUCUAUCCACGGGUGGGGGAGUAACGGCUGGAAACGGCUGCUAAUACCGCAUGACGACUGAGGUCCAAAGGCAGUAAUGUUGCCUGUGGAGGAGCCUGCGUUCGAUUAGCUUGUUGGUGGGGUAACGGCCUACCAAGGCGACGAUCGAUAGCUGGUCUGAGAGGAUGAUCAGCCACACUGGGACUGAGACACGGCCCAG
rnacentral:rRNA from 1 species